CAGCCGCGGUAAUUCCAGCUCUCAAAAUGCAUAGAAUUAUUGCUGCGGUUAAAAAGCUCGUAGUUGGAUCUGUGCUGAGGACCUGGUCCACCUUCGGGUGCGUACUAGGCUCCACGGCUUUUCUGCCGGUUUUCCCGUCAUGGCUUUCAUCGGCUGUGGCGGGUGGCUGGUGAUUUUACUUUGAACAAAUCAGAGUGCUUCAAACAGGCGUUUAGCUUGAAUGUUUUUGCAUGGAAUAAUAGAAGAGGAUUUCGGUUCUAUUUUAUUGGUUUUAUAGACUGAAAUAAUGGUUAACAGAGACCAACGGGGGCAUUCGUACCGCUGCGUGAGAGGUGAAAUUCUUGGACCGCAGCGAGACGAACUACAGCGAAAGCAUUUGCCAAGAAGGUCUUCAUUAAUCAAGAACGAAAGUCAGAGGUUCGAAGGCGAUCAGAUACCGCCCUAGUUCUGACCGUAAACGAUGCCAACUAGCGAUCUGCCGGCGGAAUUUUCGCCCUGGUAGGGAGCUUCCCGGAAACGAAAGUCUUCCGGUUCCGGGGGAAGUAUGGUUGCAAAGCUGAAACUUAAAGGAAUUGACGGAAGGGCACCACCAGGAGUGGAGCCUGCGGCUUAAUUUGACUCAACACGGGGAAACUCACCCGGCCCGGACACCAUAAGGAUUGACAGAUUGAUAGCUUUUUCAUGAUUUGGUGGAUGGUGGUGCAUGGCCGUUCUUAGUUCGUGGAGCGAUUUGUCUGGUUUAUUCCGAUAACGAGCGAGACUCUAGCCUACUAAAUAGUCUGCACAUUGCUUCUGUGAUGCAGUACUUCUUAGAGGGAUUUUCGGUGUACAGCCGCACGAGAUUGAGCAAUAACAGGUCUGUGAUGCCCUUAGAUGUCCGGGGCUGCACGCGCGCUACACUGGCGAAAUCAGCGUGCUUGUCCUUGCUCGAAAGAGCUUGGUAAACCAAUGAAAAUUUGCCGUGAUUGGGAUCGGAAAUUGCAAUUAUUUUCCGUGAACGAGGAAUUCCAAGUAAAUGCGAGUCAUCAACUCGCGUUGAUUACGUCCCUGCCCUUUGUACACACCGCCCGUCGCUGCCCGGGACUGAGCCAUUUCGAGAAAUUCGGGGAUUGCCGAUUAGCGGUCUUUCGGGAUUGCUUUUUGGUGAGAACCAACUUAAUCGCAGUGGCUUGAACCGGGCA
rnacentral:rRNA from 1 species